rnacentral:rRNA from 1 species
GACGAACGCUGGCGGCGUGCCUAAUACAUGCAAGUUGAGCGCUGAAGGUUGGUACUUGUACCAACUGGAUGAGCAGCGAACGGGUGAGUAACGCGUGGGGAAUCUGCCUUUGAGCGGGGGACAACAUUUGGAAACGAAUGCUAAUACCGCAUAAAAACUUUAAACACAAGUUUUAAGUUUGAAAGAUGCAAUUGCCUCACUCAAAGAUGAUCCCGCGUUGUAUUAGCUAGUUGGUGAGGUAAAGGCUCACCAAGGCGAUGAUACAUAGCCGACCUGAGAGGGUGAUCGGCCACAUUGGGACUGAGACACGGCCCAAACUCCUACGGGAGGCAGCAGUAGGGAAUCUUCGGCAAUGGACGAAAGUCUGACCGAGCAACGCCGCGUGAGUGAAGAAGGUUUUCGGAUCGUAAAACUCUGUUGGUAGAGAAGAACGUUGGUGAGAGUGGAAAGCUCAUCAAGUGACGGUAACUACCCAGAAAGGGACGGCGAACUACGU